rnacentral:RNase_P_RNA from 1 species
UGAGUCCGCCGGACGGUCGCGGCGCUUCGGUGUCGAGGAAAGUCCGGACUCCAUAGGGCACGAUGCUGGGUAACGCCCAGGCGGGGCGACCCGACGGAUAGUGCAACAGAGAGCAGACCGCCGAUGGCCUUCGGGCACAGGCAAGGGUGAAACGGUGGUGUAAGAGACCACCAGCGUCUCGGGAGACCGUGACGGCUCGGUAAACCCCAUCGGGAGCAAGAUCAAGCAGGAACCGGACGGCCCGUCCACAUGGUUCCAGGUAGAUCGCACGAGGCUCGCGGCAACGCGGGUCCCAGAUGGAUGACCGUCCCGGGCUUCGGCCCGGACAGAAUCCGGCUUACAGGCGGACUCACACU